AGAGUUUGAUCCUGGCUCAGGAUGAACGCUAGCGGCAGGCUAAUACAUGCAAGUCGAGGGGUAACAGGGGAGCUUGCUCCUGCUGACGACCGGCAAACGGGUGAGGAACACGUACACAACCUUCCUUCUAGUGGAGGAUAGCCCAGGGAAACUUGGAUUAAUACUCCGUAAGAUGUUAGGGAGGCAUCUCCCAGACAUUAUAGUAGCGAUACGCUAGAAGACGGGUGUGCGUCUGAUUAGGUAGUUGGCGGGGUAACGGCCCACCAAGCCGACGAUCAGUAACUGGUGUGAGAGCACGACCAGUCACACGGGCACUGAGACACGGGCCCGACUCCUACGGGAGGCAGCAGUAAGGAAUAUUGGUCAAUGGACGAAAGUCUGAACCAGCCAUGCCACGUGAAGGAUGAAGGUCCUCUGGAUUGUAAACUUCUUUUAUAUGGGACGAAAAAAGGGUUUUCUAACUCUACUGACGGUACCAUAUGAAUAAGCACCGGCUAACUCCGUGCCAGCAGCCGCGGUAAUACGGAGGGUGCAAGCGUUAUCCGGAUUUACUGGGUUUAAAGGGAGCGUAGGUGGGCUGUUAAGUCAGUGGUGAAAUCCCGGGGCUCAACCUCGGAACUGCCGUUGAUACUAUCAGUCUUGAAUAUUGUGGAGGCUAGCGGAAUAUGUCAUGUAGCGGUGAAAUGCUUAGAUAUGACAUAGAACACCGAUUGCGAAGGCAGCUGGCUACGCAUAUAUUGACACUGAGGCUCGAAAGCGUGGGUAGCAAACAGGAUUAGAUACCCUGGUAGUCCACGCCCUAAACGAUGGAUACUCGACAUUAGCGAUAUACUGUUAGUGUCUGAGCGAAAGCAUUAAGUAUCCCACCUGGGAAGUACGAUCGCAAGAUUGAAACUCAAAUGAAUUGACGG
rnacentral:rRNA from 1 species